AAGAAAAAGAUCGAGAAAAAGAGAAAAAGGAAGGGAAAAGCAAGAAAAAAGAGGAAGGAGAAGUCAAAGAAAAAAAUAAAGACAAGGAAGCAGAGGCUGAUGACCAAGAGCUAAACAGCCUACUCACAAAAAUCUACACGUUUGAAGAAG